rnacentral:lncRNA from 1 species
CCGCCAUCUUAGUUGAAGUUUAUUCAGGACCCUACCACCUUGUCAUUCGACUCAUGGUGCAACAACUGGAACUGGAUCAUCGAUGUGACCUCGGUUGCGCAAGGGCGAAUAUGAGACAAGCAUUCCAGGAUAUACAAACACAUGAUGGAUUUAUGGAGGAAUACAUCAAAUAAUCCAGGAGCUGUGAAUUAUAAAUAUGGAUGACUGCAAAAGCAAAGAAGAAGAUAAUGAAACAAACUGAAAAAGUGUACACGUUUCCAGAAUUAUUAAUAAAAUUGUUGAUUACAA